rnacentral:lncRNA from 1 species
GGUUACCCGGGAGACCAGAGGCGGUAGUGCCUGGUUCCUCCAGGUUCCUCAAGGUCAUUCCGUCUCUACCCCAGUACUAAGCCGGAAGUCCAGAAGCGGCCCCUGGAAGACCCCGCAAGCCUCCAGUGUGGCCGGAUUGCAAGAGAGAAAUGGCACCAAAUGGAAAUCAGCUCUGAUUUUGUGGGCACCCGGCACAGGAGAAAUGAAAAGGAUAAAGAGGAUGACAGAGGAUAUGCUGCAGCAGGAAAACGCUACCUACUGAAUUUUCCCAUGAAGGAGAUCAGUUCUUUCUGAACGUACACACCGCACCCGUGGGGGACUGGAACCAGCAUCUGUGGGGGACCCCACAGUCCGGAGAGAGGCUCAGGCCCCAGAGACGCCCUCUGAGCCUGUAGGUUCCGCAUCCAAGGAGUCAGCCAACCACUGGUACAAGAAGCGUGCGCUGGAGGAAAUGGACGUUCCCCAAGCAUCCUGACUUGGAGGUUGACCUAGUCAUCGGAUGGGUCCUCGGCUUCCCUCAUUAAGCAGAUAGUGAGUGUGUUCUUCCCGAGGGAACGAGUGUGUCGCUGGAUUUCAAGAGCACGAGAGUCGGCCACUAGUCAACAUCUUUUUUUGCCACUCCGCCGCAUAGGGAGCUCCCGGGCCAGGGAUCAAAUUCAAGUCACAGUUGAUACCCAAGCCGCAGGGGCAGCUACACCGAUCCUUAACCCACUGUGCCAGGCCAGGGACUGAACCUGCAUCCCAGCGCUUCCAAGAUGCCACCGAUCGGCUGUGCCAAAGCAGGAACACUAGUCAACACCUUGACCUUUGAAAUGUGAGGAGGCUCCUUUUAUGGACUUGGAAGGUGCAGUCUGCUCUCAGAACGUCGUCCAUGAGCUUGCGAAGAAGUCUUGCUCCCUGUUUCUUUGAUGUAAAGUGCUGUGCAAAUCCCGUAGAGAAUACCCACUGUAUCUGCGUAGGACUUGGAUAUCCCGCCUUACUUCUCUGAUUAAUCGAUCAGUUUUUGAGGGUAGUCUGUUAAGUUACCCAGUUUGCUAAAACGAGAGGGUUCAAUUAAAGGGCAAAAGCAGACGACGUUUUCAAAAUAAACCCAACAGCAAGCGGUAGACUGAUGAAUGCAAUAGCGGAAUCCUUGAAACUAAAAAAGAAACAAUUCAGAAAAAGCAAAGGAGAGGAAAAUAGCAAGACACACGAAAGAAAAAUAUACAGGAUACGAGGAAGAUAAAGAUCCUUUUAGAGGAAAUUAAAAAUGACAAGAGUGCUUUUAUACAGAGGCAUUUACUAAUACAUUUAGAAAUUAAGUAGAAAGAAACCUCCUAAGAAAGCCUGUCACUGGCUUUGACGGGACAAGGAGCAGCAAUCCCGUUUGACGCAACAGGGAAGGACGAAGCAGGAAAUUUUAUCAAAGAAUUUCCACCCCAGACUUGGCUAUGGAUGUAUGAUAGUGCAGGCAAUUUUUUUCAAACUGUAAAAUAAUUGUUAUUCCAAUAUCGUAUAAUCUGUUUUAGAACAAAGAAGAAGCUGGAAACUCUGUUCACAGCAUGAAGCCAGGACAGCCAGGACAAUAAAAUAUUUUUAAAAAGCACAAAGAAGCA